rnacentral:rRNA from 1 species
AUUGAACGCUGGCGGCAUGCUUUACACAUGCAAGUCGAACGGCAGCGCGGGCUUCGGCCUGGCGGCGAGUGGCGAACGGGUGAGUAAUGCAUCGGAACGUGCCCAGUAGUGGGGGAUAGCACGGCGAAAGCCGGAUUAAUACCGCAUACGAUCUGAGGGUGAAAGCGGGGGACCGAAAGGCCUCGCGCUAUUGGAGCGGCCGAUGUCGGAUUAGCUAGUUGGUGGGGUAAAGGCUUACCAAGGCGACGAUCCGUAGCUGGUCUGAGAGGACGACCGGCCACACUGGGACUGAGACACGGCCCAGACUCCUGCGGGAGGCAGCAGUGGGGAAUGGUGGACAAUGGGGGCAACCCUGAUCCAGCCAUGCCGCGUGCGGGAAGAAGGCCUUCGGGUUGUAAACCGCUUUUGUUCGGGAAGAAAUCCUCUGGGCUAAUACCCCGGGGGGAUGACGGUACCGGAAGAAUAAGCACCGGCUAACUACGUG